UACGGAGGAUGCAAGCGUUAUCCGGAAUGAUUGGGCGUAAAGCGUCCGCAGGUGGCGAUGUAAGUCUGCUGUUAAAGAGUGAGGCUCAACCUCAUAAGAGCAGUGGAAACUACAUAGCUAGAGUACGUUCGGGGCAGAGGGAAUUCCUGGUGUAGCGGUGAAAUGCGUAGAGAUCAGGAAGAACACCAGUGGCGAAGGCGCUCUGCUAGGCCGUAACUGACACUGAGGCACGAAAGCGUGGGGAGCAAACAGG
rnacentral:rRNA from 1 species